rfam:Picea glauca, whole genome shotgun sequence.
GAAUCCAUUGUUUAAUGGAUAGGACAUAGGUCUUAUAAACCUUUGGUAUAGGUUCAAAUCCUAUUGGAUGUG